rnacentral:SRP_RNA from 1 species
UACAUUGGUGCAGCUUUCUUCCGGAUCUGAAAUGGUUCCAGAGAUCAUGGAAUACGACAACGAGACUGACACUGAC